AAAGGGUGCAGACAGAAGCGCCCGACGCAGACAUUGUUGAGCCCAUUUACAGAUCCUUUGAGGAAGAAGAGGACGAUGACUGUGUCGGCUGCGACUGCAACCCCGCCAUGUUUUGAUCCAUCAAAACCCUUGCCCAUUGAAGAUGUGAAGGCAGUAAUACAGUUUUGCAGUGCCUGGAAAAGCGAUAUCAGUGCGGAGGUGCAGCUGGAAUCAUUUUCAGUGGGCGCUGAUUUUUUCUACAGACUUGUCGAUGAAACCGAAUGGAUGAGCUCAAGGCACCUGGACAUGGCAACCUUUCUUAUC